rnacentral:rRNA from 1 species
AACGAACGCUGGCGGCAGGCUUAACACAUGCAAGUCGAACGCGUGCAGCAAUGCACGAGUGGCGCACGGGUGAGUAACGCGUGGAUAUCUGCCUUUUGGUUCGGAAUAACCCCGGGAAACUGGGGCUAAUACCGGAUGGUUCCUACGGGAUAAAGAUUUAUCGCCAAAAGAUGAGUCCGCGUCCGAUUAGCUAGUUGGUGAGGUAAUGGCUCACCAAGGCGACGAUCGGUAGCUGGUCUGAGAGGACGAUCAGCCACACUGGGACUGAGACACGGCCCAGACUCCUACGGGAGGCAGCAGUGGGGAAUAUUGGACAAUGGGGGCAACCAUGAUCCAGCCAUGCCGCGUGAGUGAUGAAGGCCUUCGGGUUGUAAAGCUCUUUUGGCGGGGACGAUGAUGACGGUACCCGCAGAAUAAGCCCCGGCUAACUUCGUG